GGCGCCUGCGCUUCUCCCGGCCUCUGUCCUUCCGCCGGAACCCUCCUCCAGUCCUCCUUCCUCCCCUCUCUCCUCUGCUCGUCACGAGACAACGCGAGAGGAGAAUCGCCGAUGCGGGCCAUGGCGGCACCCUGCGUCCACCGUGGCUCCUCCACCGACGACCACGGUACCCUCUUCCAUGGAUGCUACCUCUCAUAGUCCUAUUCCGUUCCCACCCCUGAACUCCUGGAGUCCUGCUAUCUCUCUCCCUCUUCUGUGUUUGGCUGCAUUAUUUCUGAUGGUGAUCUCAACUGUUUUUAUACGCGAGCAUGUGAAGACGCGCUCCUCAUGGCCCGCCCUGGAAGGUGACCUCGGCCGAUUCAAAUGAAUACAAGGAAGAUGGUGAAGCUGUCCUGGAGGCGCAAGAACUGGAUCCUCAAACUGAGGAUAUUGAAAUAGAAAUUCGAAAGGCUAAUGAUGCGAUGACAAUCUCUCCCGAUGAUGAUGAUCUUUGAAAGCAAGUCUGGCUAACUUGAGCAAGUAGUUAUAGUGACCAAGCACUCCACCCUAUUUCUGAAAGAUCUUGUUUCUUAAGGUAGGAGCGUAGGUAGGGAUGGCAAUUGGGAAUUCCCCAUCGGGAUCGACCCCCAUCCCCGCCCCUGCUAGAGCUCACAGGGGAGAUUUUCUUCCCAUCCCCAUCCCCGCACAGGGAAUAAAUCCCUGUGAGGAUCCCGUCCCCAUCCCUUAUCUGUUCAAGUUCAACUGAAGAUAGCUUGAGCUUUCUUG